rnacentral:rRNA from 1 species
GUUGUAUGGUUAAGUGACUAAGCGUACACGGUGGAUGCCUUGGCAGUCAGAGGCGAUGAAAGACGUAGUAACUUGCGAUAAGCCCAGAUUAGGUAGUAACAACCAUUUGAGUCUGGGAUUUCUGAAUGGGGAAACCCACUUACAUAAGUAAGUAUCAUUAACUGAAUACAUAGGGUAAGGAGGCGAACCGGGGGAACUGAAACAUCUAAGUACCCCGAGGAAAAGAAAUCAACCGAGAUUCCGAAAGUAGCGGCGAGCGAAAUUGGACUAGCCCUUAAGCUUUACACGCGUUAGACGAACGGUCUGGAAAGUCCGACGAUACAGGGUGAUAGUCCCGUAGUUGACGACGUGUGUUCAGUGAAAUCGAGUAGGGCGGGACACGUGAUAUCCUGUCUGAAUAUGGGGGGACCAUCCUCCAAGGCUAAAUACUACUGACUGACCGAUAG